rnacentral:rRNA from 1 species
GAUGAACGCUGGCUACAGGCUUAACACAUGCAAGUCGAGGGGAAACGACGGGGAAGCUUGCUUCCCCGGGCGUCGACCGGCGCACGGGUGAGUAACGCGGAUCCAACCUGCCUCUGACUGAGGGAUAACCCGUCGAAAGUCGGCAUAAUACCUCAUGGCAUCGUCUGCGGGCAUCCAACGACGAUUAAAGAUUUCAUCGGUCAGGGAUGGGGAUGCGUCUGAUUAGCUAGUUGGCGGGGUAACGGCCCACCAAGGCGACGAUCAGUAGGGGUUCUGAGAGGAAGGUCCCCCACAUUGGAACUGAGACACGGUCCAAACUCCUACGGGAGGCAGCAGUGAGGAAUAUUGGUCAAUGGGCGAGAGCCUGAACCAGCCAAGUAGCGUGCAGGAUGACGGCCCUAUGGGUGGUAAACUGCUUUUAUGCGGGGAUAAAGUGAGGGACGUGUCCUUCAUUGCAGGUACCGCAUGAAUAAGGACCGGCUAAUUCCGUG